rnacentral:rRNA from 1 species
UGGGGAAUAUUGGGCAAUGGGCGCAAGCCUGACCCAGCAACGCCGCGUGAAGGAAGAAGGCUUUCGGGUUGUAAACUUCUUUUGUCAGGGAAGAGCAGAAGACGGUACCUGACGAAUAAGCCACGGCUAACUACGUGCCAGCAGCCGCGGUAAUACGUAGGUGGCAAGCGUUGUCCGGAUUUACUGGGUGUAAAGGGCGUGUAGCCGGGCUGACAAGUCAGAUGUGAAAUCCGGGGGCUCAACCCCCGAACUGCAUUUGAAACUGUUGGUCUUGAGUAUCGGAGAGGCAGGCGGAAUUCCUAGUGUAGCGGUGAAAUGCGUAGAUAUUAGGAGGAACACCAGUGGCGAAGGCGGCCUGCUGGACGACAACUGACGGUGAGGCGCGAAAGCGUGGGGAGCAAACAGGAUUAGAUACC